rnacentral:misc_RNA from 1 species
AUGCCAUCGGUACGCCGAAUGAUCCUCGGACACGUUAUGUCCGGUUUAUGUACCAAAAUGAAUCGUACGAAAAAACUCCAAGGAGAUUUGCUCGAAACUCCAAUGAAAAGAUGUCUUUCCACCUUCGAUAUUACGCUGCUCGGCGUUGGUCAUAUGGUUGGCGCUGGAAUCUACGUUUUAACAGGAACAGUAGCUCGCGACACGGCCGGCCCAGGCGUAGUUUUAAGCUUUUUACUCGCCGGUAUAGCUUCCUUGUUAGCAGCGUUGUGCUACGCUGAAUUUGGGGCACGAAUUCCGAAAGCUGGUAGCGCUUACGUUUACACAUACAUUUCUGUCGGCGAAUUUUGGGCUUUCGUAAUCGGAUGGAACAUUAUAUUAGAGCACAUGAUCGGCGCGGCAUCCGUGGCAAGGGCUUGGAGCGGAUAUGUCGAUUCUUUAGCAGGCGGAUCGAUCAGCAAUUACAGCCGUCGAAUAAUGCACGGAUACACCAUGGCAGAACCGCUUGGAAGUGUUCCAGAUGUUUUGGCCGCUGUAUUAUGCCUGUUUUACGCGAUGCUGCUAACACUGGGCGUUAAGAGUUCGGCAACGGUUAAUUCCUUGCUCACUAUCGUAAAUUUAGGGGUAAUGGGAUUGGUGAUCGGAUUAGGAUUCGCCUACGCAAAACUUUCCAAUUGGAGUUGCGAGCAUGGAGGGUUCUUACCCUAUGGAUUUACCGGCGUAUUAGCAGGUGCUGCAACGUGCUUCUACGCGUACGUCGGCUUCGAUUCUAUCGCUACUUCCGGGGAAGAGGCUCGCGAUCCUGCAUACAGUAUACCUCGAGCAACGUUAUUUUCAAUGACUAUCGUCACUGUUGGAUACGUGCUGGUCGGCGCCGCUUUAACCCUGGUCAUACCGUAUUGGAAGAUCAAUCCCACUGCAGCCCUUCCCGAGGCUUUCUCGUCGAUUGGAAUACCAUGGGCCAAAUACGUGAUAAGUAUUGGUGCAUUGUGCGGAAUGACGACAACUCUGUUCGGAUCUUUGUUCUCGUUGCCGCGAAUAAUGUACGCCAUGGCGAACGACGGUCUACUGUUCGGCUUUCUCGGCCAUAUUAACAAUCGUACCCAAGUACCCGUUCUCAAUUUGGCUAUCAGCGGUUUCCUCAGUGCCUUAAUCGCCCUGCUCUUCGACCUUCAACAUUUGGUCGAGUUUAUGUCUAUCGGCACGUUCCUGGCCUACACCAUCGUCUCAGCUAGCGUGAUCAUCCUCAGAUACCGCCCUGACAAGGUUACACCCUCCCCGUCGAACGCGGGUACACCUAGCAGUUUGACAUCGCCGCCUACAGAGGGCGCCGACUCUAACAGCGAUUGCAACAGCGUCACGUCUGCCGAAUCCGAGCUCUUAGACUUGAGCGAGGGCACUGGUAAACUUAAAUCGCGAUACAUCUGGCUGGCCAACUUUUUGGGCAGUUGUAAACCGGGAGAUGUGGUCACGGGUUCCGUGAUGAUAUACACGGCGGGUUGCAUCUCCUUGUGUUUUCUGUUCAUACUGAUAUCUCAAACUUACUUUGCCCCCGCAUUGUGGGACUAUUUCGUUCUGGCAAACGUCAUCCUGUUAUUGAUCGGAAGCCUUUUCGUUAUCAUCGCCCACCAACAAUCUCCUCCCACCGGUAAAUUCCGGGUCCCGAUGGUCCCGGUGAUACCAGCCCUUAGCAUCUUAUUCAACAUAGGGUUGAUGUUCCAUUUGUCGCUUUUGACCUGGCUACGAUUCCUCGUUUGGAUGGUCGUCGGGAUGUUGAUAUACUUUCUAUACGGGAUUCACUACAGCAAAGAGGCGGCAAGUCCAAACUCUUACUCGAUCCUGAUGGCGACCUCGGAGGCGGGCAGGGGCGCGAAAUGGGGCGCCACGUUACGGGUCAAUCAAAAGAGCGAUAAAGUUCCGAUAUUAAACGAGGAAGAUUUCGUACAUUAGAGAGAAUAGAGUUUCUGGUCAGGGAACCGUGUAAAGAUGUAUGCCAAUCGACGCUGAAUGAUGGACGCUGCGCUCUUCCACCGACCACUCAAGCAAGUAUAAAUAUACCUCUUAACCAUCAUAAAAUGAUGAAUUCGGAUAUGGCACGCCUCAAGAAAAGAACACCAAGUCACAAGGAACAAGAUCAGCAACAAGAUUUACGACCUGGAUGUUGUGGAUAAACAGUGAAUUAUUCGUCAUCGAUAAAUUUUUUCUCGUGAAUAUUUGUUUUGAAAGUAUUUACGUACAAAUUAUAGAUGGUAUUUAAACGCAUAUUAUGAAUACGUUUCCUCUUUUUGGCUUCUUUCACGGAUAAGAUAGUAAAUGAAAUAAAAUAAUGGUUAUCAUGCCGCAUAAAGAUAAUUAGGAAAUAUUUCUUUUUGUCAUUCCUAUUUGUCAAUAUCACAAAUUCAACAGAUAUUAAUAAGGGUAAAAUAAAAUAAUUCGUAUGGAAAACUUUUAUUAACAUUAUGUACUCGUACAUAAUGACUUACAAGCACUGCGAACAAUUUUUUUUGUUAAGUUAUUUAAACUCAAUAGCAACUAUAAGUAUGCAGUACACCAGUGCAAUAUAUUGCAAAUUAUAUUGUAACUAAAAUUACUAAACCUUCAUCGCAGAAGAUAAGAUAGAUAAAAAAAAAA